rnacentral:rRNA from 1 species
CAGUCGCCGCGGGAAUACAGAGGGUGCGAGCGUUAAUCGGAUUUACUGGGCGUAAAGCGUGCGUAGGCUGCUAAUUGAGUCGGAUGUGAAAUCCCCGAGCUUAACUUGGGAAUUGCAUUCGAUACUGGUUAGCUAGAGUGUGGGAGAGGAUGGUAGAAUUCCAGGUGUAGCGGUGAAAUGCGUAGAGAUCUGGAGGAAUACCGAUGGCGAAGGCAGCCAUCUGGCCUAACACUGACGCUGAGGUACGAAAGCAUGGGGAGCAAACAGGAUUAGAUACCCCUGUAGUCCCUGUCUCUUAUAC